UGUGGAUUUUACAUGCAGAGCUGAAUCUUGAUGCACGUAUUCCCCAAAGAAAGCUCAGCAGGGCUGUUCUUGAAUACCUCUAUAAUCAAGGAUGAUUUUAAAGUCCCAAUCCUGCUGUCUCCACUACUUCAGUGCUGGAAUUACAGGCAUAUGUCAUCACACCAUGUAUAUGCUGUGAAUCAAGGGUUCCAUACCUUCUAGAGAAGCAUUCUACUGAGACCUAUAUUUCCCAGCCAGGAUCAUGCUUUGUAGCUCUGUCUGAUCUGGCCUUUGCUGUGUAGCACAGUCUGCUUUGAACUCAUGGCAAUACUUCUCUCCCAGCUUCCCAAGUUGUUA